rnacentral:ncRNA from 1 species
UAGGUUCAAGGUUAAAAGGGAAACCGGUGAAAUUCCGGUACAGUCACCUCUGCUGUGAAGCGGACGAGGAAAUAGAAGCCAUUGAAUAGCAAUUCGAGAAGGCAUUUCCAAGGAUGAAGCAAAGUCAGAACACCUGCCAUGUAUAUA